rnacentral:rRNA from 1 species
GACGAACGCUGGCGGCGUGCUUAACACAUGCAAGUCGAACGGAAAGGCCCUGCUUUUGUGGGGUGCUCGAGUGGCGAACGGGUGAGUAACACGUGAGUAACCUGCCCUUGACUUUGGGAUAACUUCAGGAAACUGGGGCUAAUACCGGAUAGGAGCUCCUGCUGCAUGGUGGGGGUUGGAAAGUUUCGGCGGUUGGGGAUGGACUCGCGGCUUAUCAGCUUGUUGGUGGGGUAGUGGCUUACCAAGGCUUUGACGGGUAGCCGGCCUGAGAGGGUGACCGGCCCCAUUGGGACUUCGGUACGGCCCAGACUCCUACGGGAGGCAGCAGUGGGGAAUAUUGCACAAUGGGCCGAAGCCUGAUGCAGCCACGCCGCGGGCGGGAUGACGGCCUUCGGGUUGUAAACCGCUUUCGCCUGGGACGAAGCGUGAGUGACGGUAAUGGGUAAAGAAGCACCGGCUAACUACGUG